GCAGCUGAACUGAGAACGGCAACUCAACCGGCCCGUUUGCAAUUCAGCUGCUAUCAGAAACAGUGGGAUGUGAUUGAGGCAUUCCUCGUGCGAUGUUCUGCAGUAGACUCCAAAGCACUGCUGCGGAUGAUUAUCUACGCGACCGAAAACGGGCUUGGCAUCGCGAGGCAAGGAGGAGAGAGAGUUCUUUGGUGGCUUGGCGCGCUUUUCCAUUGGAAACUACACUGAGCGACCUCGCGUGAAGGCGGGGUGCAGCCGAGGGCCCUUGGUUCACGACCGCGGGCUCCGGAUUCUGAGGAACUGGGCUUGGCCCCUGGCCUGUCUCCUCACCGCCCUCCUUGGCUGGGUACCACCAGGCUGACAAACAGUGGUGCAGAGAGAUCUCUUUUUAUGAAUGCAUAGAGAAAGGAACUCAAGGCCUCAUUAAUGGACAGACAGACAGAAGAAAGACAGACGGAAAUGAAGGAACAGCAGAAAAAGGAUAGAGUGACAGGAAGAAAGAAAGAGAGUAAGAAGGCAAUAUGCAUGGAGAUAGAUCAAGGCAAUAACCUAAACAUAAAAUAAAUAGAAAGUGAGGCGAUAAUGGAUAGAGAAGGACAGAGGAGAAAAGAAUGGAAACAGGAAGGAGACUGAAAGAGAAUUAAGGUUAUGAUGCAAAUGGUUCAGCCCUAUGCCCUCCCAUUCACAAGCAAAAACCAUCAGUGAAAAGCACCAUCGCCCAACAUAGCUUUUUGAGAAGCUGUCAAAGGGCUGGUUUGUACUUGUUUAACACAAUUAACCCCACCCCUCCCCCUGUCUCUCACACACCCACACACACGAAAGAGGGAACCCAGGUAAACCAGAAAUCAGCCCCUCUGGACCUGUGGUGAGGAGACUUCAGAUCAGUGGUGUCACUAGGCUGUUUUAUUCGGGGCCAAAGCCCUGGACAUUAUUUGAUUAGCCCCGAACAUAAUUCUUGGGUAAAUUAAAAAAAGAUAUACUUUAUCGAUAUUUAAUGGUAUAUAUACUGCUAACUAUGGACUGCAAUAAUUAAAUUCAGUGUAGAAGUGAUACAAUGAUUCUAGUCACUAAUGAUAGUUAUUUAGAAAGAAACAUGGGGAUUCCAGGGACAUCUCAAAAUAAAGUAGCCUAGGCCUUCUGGAAAGAUAAUAAACAGUUUAAAAACAUAACCAGACUGUUUACCACCGUGAAUCAAGCUAUCCUAUCCCCAGUCAGAUCCAUCUAUCUAUCCAUCCAUCCAUCCAUCCAUCCAUAUGUAUAUGUAUAUAUAUAUAUAUAUAUAUAUAUAUAUAUAUAUAUAUAUAUAUAUAUAUAUAUAUAUAUAUAUUCUGUCUCACUUGUAUUCAUUUUACUCUGAAAUAACUUGAAUGGAACUUUAGAUGUUUAAGGAUAAGCAGCACAGCAGUCAGGUAGCUAUUUAAAGCUAUAAUAAACGGUGUAUUUUGUUUAUUUAGGUAAAGCAUUAUGAAAAAAUGUGCAUGCACAAUAGUGCAGACAAAAAAAGUAAUAAUCUUUUUGUAUGCCCAGAGGGGUAGUUUUCUCGCCCCUGCUUCAGAUCAGCGGAAGCAAUGAUGUGUCUCUGGCUUGACAUUCAAGUUUGUGAUGAACCCUUCAGCUUUGGCCCUACAGACAGCUGUCAACAGCUACCGCUCUGUAAGGAAAGGUGAGAGUUACGCUUCUGUGACAGACAGAAUGUUUGCUGUGUUCUGACAUCAUGAGAGGUGGAAAU
rnacentral:lncRNA from 1 species